UACGAAGGGGGCUAGCGUUGCUCGGAAUCACUGGGCGUAAAGCGCACGUAGGCGGAUCUUUAAGUCAGGGGUGAAAUCCUGGAGCUCAACUCCAGAACUGCCUUUGAUACUGGGGAUCUCGAGUCCGGAAGAGGUGAGUGGAACUCCGAGUGUAGAGGUGAAAUUCGUAGAUAUUCGGAAGAACACCCGUGGCGAAGGCGGCUCACUGGUCCGGUACUGACGCUGAGGUGCGAAAGCGUGGGGAGCAAACAGG
rnacentral:rRNA from 1 species